CCGCUCCGUUCCCCAUCUCUGACAGCCCAAAUCCCAACAUCCAAACCCUAGCUUCUGGCGAUCUCUCUCUGCCCUGAUCCCCGCCGCCGCUGAUGUCAUUGGACCGCCGCCGCCGUGCUAGUGGCCGCCCAUGAGAAGAACGCGUUGUGGAUCGACAACCUGUCCACGCAGGGAAGCGAGGAAGACAUCAUGACGGACUUUGCCCCACACGAGGCGACCGAUGCAUCGGCUACCGCAGCUACGUGUUCGUCUUUUUCCGCUCUGUCACUAAGUCCCGAGAUGCCCUCGAGGCGCUCCACGGUCCAAGAUCAAGAGCGCGUUCAUCUGGGUCGAGUACACCCUGCCAGUAACUUCUCACCCCCUCCUUCUCCCCCACUCGUAUCCCCUCCCACCUUGGAUCCCCCGGGGAUAUGGCUGCAGUUCGCGAUGUCAAUUUUUUGAUAAUUACGCCUUCGGUGCUUCAGAUUUGCAGUUUAUUUAGGCGGUGUGGGAUGAGGCCUCCAGCAGCUCUGAUAUAUGUAAUUAUUCGAGCGGCAGCACACAGGGUCAGCAAUGACGGGGUGGUCUAGAAGAGGCAUGCAGGUGGCUGUGGGAUAGCGGCGCUCCGGUCCACGGGAGCGCGGCGGGCGACGCCCUUGAUUCAGGCUGCCAAUCGGGUCGGGUUUCAUUGGGCCGACCUCUACAAAAUCCAUGCCCGAAUAGCUAAUCGGGUCAACUCACGACCCACGACCCAACCCCUGGGUUUGACGAACGACCCAUACCCACACCCGAUGGAUGACCUGACCCGUUCGGGCACCCAUCGGGUCCAUGAAAACAUUUCCAUUUUUUAAGCCGCCUAGCAUGCAACAAGUUCAAACAAAAUCGGUGAAUGACCUAGCACGAAGGGGUGGUAGUGGGUUCCUCGGCGGAGGUGGCCACCAGGGAGACGCCGGCGGUGCGUAGGGAGGUCGGGCUGUCCAUGUUUUCUUUCUAAUCACGGAUCAUCUGGAUUGGGGGAAGAAGGGUCGGGUUUGGCAUUUUUUCUGGAUCUUCAGCAAAUCAUUUUCCGGAUUGGGGGACAAGGGCUGGAUCGUGCAACUCCUUUUUUCUAGAUCUUUAGCGAAUCGUUCUCUUCUACCACUUACGGAUGUGGUAGUGGUGAGUAAUUGUGUUUCCGGAUCUUCAGCAGGUCGUUUAACGGAUUGGGGAACAAGGGUCGGGUCGGGCAGCUUUUUUCAACAUUGAUAUUUAGCGAAUCAUUUUCUACCACUUAUGGAUUGUUUUUUCAUGAUCUUUACCAAAUCAUUUUCCGGAUUGGGGAACAAGGGUCAGUUCGGGCAGCUCUUUUUUCCCGGAUCUUUAGCAAAUCAUUUUCUACCACUUAUGGAUGGCAGUGGUCGGUAAUUGGUUGCAACUUCAGGGGCAAGGAAGUUCAGGACGGACAUGCAGACACGAAUCCCUUUAUCGGUGUUCAAGUAAGCAUUGUUAAGCGACACUUAAGCGCUGAGCAAUGGAAAAAUGCUUUGCUUUGGCCUUAAGUGGUAGAUUCAGCGUAUUUUAAAAUUUUGUCCAGAAUUUGGCUAUUUUUGAACUGCUUCUACUUAGCUACUUGCGCAAUAAUGGCAGUAUCUCAUUUAUGUUAUUAUUAGGGUCCGUACAGGAGUUGUUUCCUUUAGAUUCUGGCCAAAUCAUGGAAAGAUGAUCUGCAUUUGGCUAUGUCUAUUUGAAUUGAACUACAUUUUAGUUGUCAUUUUGCUUGCUGUGUGAACCUGGUGUGUAUUUGCUAUGUUGUGAAGGUCAGUUUAGAUGCUACUUCAACUACCAGUGUGUCAUGUUUCCUAUUUUCCUAUGCAAACUAUUCAAAACAGUCAAGUUCUGGCCAAAUUUGAAAAAAUGCUCAAGCACGCUUAAGCGCCCAUUGCUCUAUGUUAUGGCCUUCCGCUUGUUUGAACAUUAUGCCCUAUUAGUAGGUAUUGAAAUACUCCUAGAUUGGUGAUUAUUCCUUGUUCUAGGGUGAAAUUGCUAUGCUGGUGUUGUGUAAAGAUUUAUGCCCUCAUGGUGUUUACUUGUGCUUGUUGAUUGUCCGUCUAUCUCAAAGCAAGAGGUAGAGGAGGAGUUUCAAAAGUUUGGAGAGAUUGAAGGUGUUGCAUUCUCCCAUGAUCAAACUUCUGCAUACAUCAACUUUGAGAAGCUGGAAGAUGCCAUUUUUGACCAUAGAGCCUUGAACGGGACAGAUUUAGGGGCAAGGAAUUGUGUGUUGAUUUCCAUAGGUCCAGAGGAAGAGCGUUAUUUGUACUAAUUUUGAUAGGAACAGUCGGAAGAAGGCAACUUCAAUAGUAGAGAAUCAUUGCCACCCGGUGAAAUGGGAGUUGGACAUGCAAAGGGUUUCUGCUGGAGUAUGAAUGAGAGAGGCAAAAAUUCCUACCAAUGUUCUCUGGGUGGGUUUAUCCAAUACACAUAAAGUAGGAGUCACUAAGGCGGGCUAUGGUAGCACAUGGUGUGGUUACAAACAUCAAAGUUUUUCCAGAAAGGCAGUAUGCUUUUGUGGAGUUUGCAACAAUUGAAGGAGCUUCUAAUGCUAACAAACUUCUAGAUGGGCGUCUUUUCAAUAAUACAAGGAUUCAUGUUCUUUUCUCCAGCAGUGGGCUUGAUAACCUAACAACGCUUGUUGGGUUCCCUAGAUCAGAGAUGUACAAUGAUAGUCCACAUGCGACACGUGAUUAUUUUGGUGUUGGUCGCAGUAGUGAUGGCACAUCACAAGGGUAUGAUCCUCGACGUGGAAGAGCAAGAUACUUGGACUAUGGUGCAAUGCCAAUCACUGUUGGUAUCCUUCCAGCACCUGAAGUUGGCUCGUCUUUGUUGUCUGGACAUUCUGCUCAUAGUGCGCUCAAUUCGAGAGAAGCCAAAAGGGUGAGGCUGGAUGCUGGCAUCGACCCUUACCAUGUAAGGACAGGCAUUGAGGGUCUUCAUCCGGGUCUGGAAGCUUUUUUUACCCUUGAUCUUCAGCGAAUUGUUUUCUACCACUUCUGGAUUGUUUUUUCCGGACCUAUAGCAAAUUCUUUUCCGGAUUGGGGAACAAGGGUCAGGUCGGGCAGCUAUUUUUUUUCUCGGAUCUUUAGAGAAUCAUUUUCUACCACUUAUGGAUGGCAGUGGUGGGUAAUUGUUUGCAACUUCAUGGGCAAAGUCAGGGCGAAUGGGCAGAAGCACGAAUCCAUUCAAGAGUGUUCAAGAAAGUGUUGUGGUAGUGAAGUAUAUUGUGGUAGAGACACUUUCUUUUAUUAGGGUCGGAACAGACGGGCAGAAGCACGAACCACAUAUACAUAAACUUAUGAUUAUUUGUGUUGUGGUAGAGACACUUUCUUUUA